rnacentral:lncRNA from 1 species
CUUAGGGCUAAGAUAGAGCAGCCAAUGAAGAACCUUGCCUCCAGGGCAGAGAUCAGUGUUUUUUGGUGAGAGUUCUCCGUGAACAGCAGUGAAAUUGCUCUGGUGGCAUGGUGGGGAACAUGCUGGAAAGUUUUCUUUUAAGGUGCUAGGAAAAUCUGUUCAUGGGGAGGUGUCUUGCUGGAGACACUGCUCUAUGAAACUGCCUGGGAGGUGCCAUGGGAAGCUGCUGGAUGCUGCUGGCCGCCAUGCACUGCAGGAGCCCGAUGCCAGCAAAGGUGUGCACCACAGGAGCUGGCAAUACAGGAGCUACCUGUGCUGCAGGAACCAGCCCAGAGGCCCCACAGAACUGUUUCAGUUACCUGCAGUCAACCAUGGUCUGAAAAUAUUACAUGGAAAAUUCACUGCCACAAUGUCUACAUCACUCAUUUCACUUCAUCUCCUCACAUACCCACUGUAUUAUCUCACGUCACCACAAGAGGAAAAAGGGUGUUUUAUGCAGGCAGUGAUUUAUUACAAGAGAUUCAGCUUGCAAGCCUGUGGAAGGACUGAUGAGUGUUCUGUCAGGGUCUCUAAGUGACUCCCAGAGCAAUAAAUUUCUAUUAGAUCAAGGGAGCAACUGCUCUGAGGCUGCCACUGAAGCCACAUGAGAAUCCAGAAGAUAUAGAAGCCACCACUGCAACUUACCUCUUGAUACACAAGAAUCUGGAGAAUGGACUCUCUUAGUUACAAUCCCAGCAUUAUGAAGAUGGAUAAAGAAGAUGCUGCUGCAGCUGCUGCAGCCACAGCUACUUCCAGACACACAGUAAAGGUGAAAAUAGGCUCUCACCUCAAGGGAGUUUAGGAACAUCCAUACCAUUUAGCUUUCCAAUUUCUCCAAAAGAAAGACUGUGGGAUGGAAUGGAGUGGCUAAAUCCACAGUGACCUUUGUAGGGGCACCUUCAUUUGGAUGUUCCACAGGUUCUUCAGUCAACUUGUCCAUAACCAAACUCAUCCUCCUCCUACAUUCCAUAAAUCCACUCUUUUUUUUGUUAUUGAAUUGUGUAUCAUAAUGAAUAGUAUCAUUACUAGUUUUAUAAAUUAUAACUGUUUCAUUUCCAGUGACUCACCUGCCCUUCAUGCCACUCUUCAAUCUCUAUUGUAAUAUAGUUCAGUUGAAAUGACCUCUUUAACCUCCUUAGUCUUGUCUUGGUUCUGAAUCUAAUGCCAGUGGCUUGGAUUGGGCCUUCUAAUAUUUUAAGUGACCUGUUGAAAUAACCUACAAAUUUCUGUUUAUCAUUUUAGCUUUGCUCUCUCCUAAUCUUAUCUCUAGACAUUGCAUCAGUUGAUAUUUCUAAACAAAACACUGAUUAUGUCAUUCUCCUUUAAAAAUCUUUCCAAAGCUCCUCAUUGCCUUCAGGAAAGUAGACCAAUUUCUUAUCAUUGCCUAGAGGACCUCAUGACCUGAUUAUGACCAGUCCCUCUAACCUCUCUUCUCACUUCUCCUCAAUCAUGCUCCGUGGAGCAAGUAUACUGACCCAUUUAAAGCACCAAGUCAGUAUCUUCGUAAAUACUUCCCUGUGUAACUGAAAUAUUCUGACCUCCCUCUGUCAUGUCUCUUCACCUAAGAUUUUCCUACCUCUAGAAGUCUCCUUGUUGAUGGAUCACCUAUUCCUAGUCAAGAUUAGGUACCACCCUAUGGUUCAUCUGCAUAUUUUAUCACUCAUAUAGCAUGUAAUCAUUUACUUCUACACAUAUCCUCAUUGAACUGUAGACUCUCUGUAUCUGCCUUUCACCUCUGUAUCUCUAGUGACUAACACAGAGCUUAGAGCAUAGCGUUUUGUAAAUGUCUGUGUAAUGAAUGAUUGAAUAAACUUUAUAUAUUAUCAGAAAACUUUAUUCUUCACUUUUAAUAUUUCCUAGUCAUCACACCUAACCACAAAAUAAGAAAAUUCAUAGCACUAUUAAAUAUAAUCUAGGGGCAAACCCAGUGGCAUACUAGUUAAGUUUGUGUGCUCCUCUUGAGUGGCCCAGGGUUUGGAGGUUUGGAUCCCAUGCACAGAUCUACACAUGGCUUGUCAAGCCAUGCUGUGGAGGCGUCCCACAUACAAAGUAGAGGAAGAUCAACACAGAUGUUAUCUCAGUGACAAUCUUCCUCAAGCAAAAAGAGGAAGAUUGGCAACAGAUGUUAGCUCAGGGCCAAUCUUCCUCGCCAAAAAAAAUAUAUAUAUAUAUGUGUGUGUAUAUAUAUACACACACACAUACACACACAUAUAUAAUCGGUGACCUGAUCAGAUAGGGCUGAUCUACAGACAUGAAAAUAUAGCUACAUUUAUCAAAUUAGUCAGUAGUUUUAAUUUUUUAGUUAUUAUUUCUGUUUACUGUGAGAGAUGAUCUGGUGAUGACAACUGAUAAUGACUCAAAACUAUAGCUUAUUGAUCUCUCUUUCAUGGUUUUAUUUUCCUCAGAGUAAAACUUCUUGAUACUUUUCUUUCUUUGCCCUUACCUCUAAAACCCCAUGAUAGUAUCUAUCAAGAAUUUCUCAAGCUGAAGUCUGAUAUUCAAUGUCUAUAUUCAUAUCUCUCAUACCCACUGUGUAAGAUGUCAGGCUAAUACUGACAUAUCUUUGAUUCUGGACUCCACACCCCUUUCUCCCAAUUUCUGCAUCUUCCAGAGUUUCUUCAUGAAAUAUUCACAAUUACCUGAAAAAGAUGAAUCUCAGAACAUAAAGUUAAGGAAAAGAGGCCAGAUACACAACGGUACAUCCUACAUGAUUCCAUUGGCGUGAGGGAUGAAGUAGACAAAGCAAAUCCUGCUUUUAGACAUCAGGAUGGUGAAUACUGUGGAACAUACUGUCAGGAAAGGAACAAAAGGAGGAUGACUGGAGGCAGGAAAGGUUCUGUUUCAUGAUCAAGGUGCU